GGGAAGAAAAAGAUAUCAAACCCCAGUAUCCAAAGACCCCGGAACCGUAUCGAUCCCGACCCCUGCUUGGUAUCGAUUGAUCAAUGCCCCUGCCGAAAAGAGGAAUUGCCCUUUAAAAUGGUUGGGAAAGAGAUUGGGAGGGAGGGUUGAUAUUAAUCAAAGCAGGCCCCUCAGAAGGACGGCAGAGCAGCACGGGGAAGAGGAAACAAAAGAAGGAGGUUUGCCGAACAGCCUCGAAUAUUACGGCGGGAGAAGCGAUCAGUUAAUGGCACUGGAUGCAAUGAGUGUUUUCUGGGUGGCAAUCAUCUCUUUAUAUCAUCUUUCUUCCUGCGCCGUGGGGACUCACCAAGGACCUUACAGUUGUUGGCGUCAUCUGGUCAGGAACUCUCUGCAGCUGAGAGUGGAGUGUGACUCGGUGGCCCUGCCACCGAAGCGUGUGAAGAAUCCAACCUCUCCCGUCACCAGCACUUGCCAGAUCUUCGCUCAGUCAACUCUUCGGAUCUUUGCUGGGAGACCACAGGGUUUUCAACGUCAGCCUCCGGCCACCUCCUCGAUUUUGCCUGAGGCACUGGUUGGAGCCUUCCCCUGUGUGGCUCUCCACG
rnacentral:lncRNA from 1 species